rnacentral:rRNA from 2 species
GACGGAGGGUGCGAGCGUUGUUCGGAUUGACUGGGCGUAAAGGGCGUGUAGGCGGUUGGUCAAGUCUGGUGUGAAAGCCCGGGGCUCAACCCCGGAAGUGCAUUGGAAACUAGCCAGCUAGAGCGCGAGAGAGGAGGGUGGAAUUCCUGGUGUAGCGGUGAAAUGCGUAGAUAUCAGGAGGAACACCGGCGGCGAAGGCGGCCCUCUGGCUCGUUGCUGACGCUGAAACGCGAAAGCGUGGGGAGCAAACAGG